rnacentral:rRNA from 1 species
GAUGAACGCUGGCGGCGUGCCUAAUACAUGCAAGUCGAGCGAACAGAUGAGGAGCUUGCUCCUCUGACGUUAGCGGCGGACGGGUGAGUAACACGUGGAUAACCUACCUAUAAGACUGGGAUAACUUCGGGAAACCGGAGCUAAUACCGGAUAAUAUAUUGAACCACAUGGUUCAAUAGUGAAAGACGGUUUUGCUGUCACUUAUAGAUGGAUCCGCGCCGCAUUAGCUAGUUGGUAAGGUAACGGCUUACCAAGGCAACGAUGCGUAGCCGACCUGAGAGGGUGAUCGGCCACACUGGAACUGAGACACGGUCCAGACUCCUACGGGAGGCAGCAGUAGGGAAUCUUCCGCAAUGGGCGAAAGCCUGACGGAGCAACGCCGCGUGAGUGAUGAAGGUCUUCGGAUCGUAAAACUCUGUUAUUAGGGAAGAACAAAUGUGUAAGUAACUAUGCACGUCUUGACGGUACCUAAUCAGAAAGCCACGGCUAACUACGUG